rnacentral:rRNA from 1 species
UACGUAGGUGACAAGCGUUGUCCGGAUUUACUGGGCGUAAAGAGCGCGCAGGCGGUCGUUCAAGUCGCGUGUGAAAGCCCCCGGCUCAACUGGGGAGGGUCACUCGAUACUGAUCGACUCGAAGGCAGGAGAGGGUAGUGGAAUUCCCGGUGUAGAGGUGAAAUGCGUAGAUAUCGGGAGGAACACCAGUGGCGAAGGCGACUACCUGGCCUGUUCUUGACGCUGAGGCGCGAAAGCUAGGGGAGCAAACGGG